rnacentral:rRNA from 1 species
AUGGAGGAAAUACAGGCCGAAAUUAAUCAGUUUUUCAAGGACCUAUAUACCAGAGAUGAUACGGUUGACCCACAAACUCUACUCGACAGCUACCUGACGCUAGUUGAUGAAGACAUGAAUGCAACCCUGACCAAGACUGUUACUCCAGAGGAAGUGGGGGAUGCCCUAUUUCAAAUCGGCCCGCUUAAGGCAUCAAGUCCCGACGGAUUCCCAGCCCGUUUCUUUCAACGGAACUGGGAUGUGGUGAAGGAGGAUGUCACGAAAGCGGUGAUCAAGUUCUUCGAGGAUGGCGCCAUGCCAGAGGGAGUGAAUGACACGGUUAUAGUACUCAUUCCGAAAGGGAAAGACCCAAAGACUAUUAAGGACUACCGACCCAUCAGCUUAUGCAAUGUGAUUUACAAGGUAAACUCGAAGGUUUUAGUUAACAGAUUGAGACCCCUCCAGGAUGAUCUAGUGUCUGAAACUCAGAGUGCUUUCGUUCCCGGUAGGCUGAUCACGAACAACGCCCUCAUAGCGUUUGAGUGUUUCCACAAAAUUCAACAUAGCAAAAACCCGAGGGACUCCUACUGUGCCUACAAACUGGACUUGGCCAGGGCUUAUGACCGGGUGGACUGGGAUUUCCUCGAGGGGGCCCUAAGAAGGAUAGGUUUUGCUGACAAAUGGAUUGAGUGGGUGAUGGCUUGUGUUAGGUCAGUGAGGUUCACAGUAAGGUGUGAUGGGGAGCUGUUGGAGCCCUUUCAUCCGUCCCGGGGACUAAGACAGGGAGACCCGCUUAGCCCAUACUUGUUUUUAUUCGUGGCGGAAGGACUGGCGGGGCUGCUAAGGAGAGAAGUGGCAAAGGGUUCACCGACUCCACUCAAAAUUGCUCGUAAUAGUCCAGGAAUAUCAAACCUUCUUUUCACGGAUGAUAGCCUCCUCUUCUUCAAAGCUAAUGUGGAAGAAGCUAGAAAGGUGAAGGAGAUCCUGAACAUAUUCCAACGAAGAUCGGGACAACUCUUAAGCCAAAGUAAAUGCUUGCUCCUUUUCAGCGAGGCUUGUCCGGUGCAAGUCAGGGAAGAGAUCAAGGAGAUCCUUGGAGUAACUAUCUCUCUUUUUGAGAGCAAAUACUUGGGCCUCCCCACGCCGGAGGGUAGAAUGAAGGAUGAGCACUUUCAACCGAUCAUGGACAAACUCGGUAAGAGGUGUUGCGACUGGAAUGAAAGGUUCAUGACUCAGGCAGCCAAGGAGGUUAACGUCAAGUCAGUGGUGCAAGCACUCCCGGCUUACAUCAUGGGCGUGUUCACAAUGAGCAUGGGGUUUUGCGAGAGAUAUCAAAAGAUGAUUAGGGACUUCUGGUGGGGUGAUAAGGAGAACCACCGAAGGUGCACUGGAUGUCUUGGGAGAAUAUGA